GAAUUUUCCGCAAUGGGCGAAAGCCUGACGGAGCAAUACCGCGUGAGGGAAGAAGGCCUUUGGGUUGUAAACCUCUUUUCUUAAGAAAGAAGUUCUGACGGUACUUAAGGAAGAAGCAUCGGCUAACUCCGUGCCAGCAGCCGCGGUAAUACGGAGGAUGCAAGCGUUAUCCGGAAUCAUUGGGCGUAAAGGGUCCGUAGGUGGUUAAUCAAGUCUGCUGUUAAAGAAUACAGCUUAACUGUAUGAAGGCAGUGGAAACUGAAAGACUAGAGUGCGGUAGGGGUAGAGGGAAUUUCCAGUGUAGCGGUGAAAUGCGUAGAGAUUGGAAAGAACACCAGUGGCGAAAGCGCUCUACUGGGCCGAAACUGACACUGAGGGACGAAAGCUAGGGGAGCGAAAGGGAUUAGAUACCCCUGUAGUC
rnacentral:rRNA from 1 species